UUCGUCCUCGACCUGCGCACGCGCACCCUAAGGGCUGGCCCCGGCCCAAUCAGGGGUGAGAGCGAAAGGGAUGUGGGUGGGGCUCUUCCCUUCGGCGGAGCCAAUCCUGAGGCGGCCCGCGGGACAAGGCCCACAGGCUGCACGUGAGGCUUCUCCACCAGGGAGGGGGCGCUCCGAGGGCCUGAACUACAGGAGGCGCUCAGUACGUGUUUGAGUGCCCAAGAGAAAGAGCAGUUUAGCAGUGUCCCAGCUGUCCAUUCCACUUUAAGAGUUGGUCUUUGCUUUUGCCAAACUAAGAACACCAUGCAAGUAUUGAGAAGAGAUUCCUCAAAACAAAAGAGCAGUCUUCAUUCAAAAAAUAAAUCAGAACCCUGA